rnacentral:rRNA from 1 species
UACAGAGGGUGCAAGCGUUGUUCGGAAUUAUUGGCGUAAAGAGCUCGUAGGCGGUCUGUCGCGUCGGCUGUGAAAUCCCGAGGCUCAACCUCGGGUCUGCAGUCGAUACGGGCAAACUAGAGUAUUGCAGGGGAGACUGGAAUUCCUGGUGUAGCGGUGAAAUGCGCAGAUAUCAGGAGGAACACCAGUGGCGAAGGCGGUUGCCUGGAGCUUGCUGACGCUGAGGCGCGAAAGCGUGGGGAGCGAUCCGG